GUAAGAAAUGAUUUCAAACCUUUGAAAACACUUUUACAAAUUGAUAUUUGUGAAGAUGUGAAGAUCAAAUGCAGCAAACAGUUUUUCCACAAGUUGGAUGACCUUAUGUGCAGGGAGCUUAAUAAAAAGAAUAUCCAAGCUGUUUCAACCAUUUUGGUUUCUUUUGGAAGAUGUGGCAAAAAUAUCAGUAUAUUGGGACAAGCUGGACUUCUGACUAUGAUAAAACAAGGACUAGUCCAAAAGAUAAGUCUAGAUAAUAAAAUUAUUCUGAGUCAAGGAAAUUCAAAAGAUGAAGCCGUUAUAAAUAUGAUAGAAGAUUUAUUUGAUCUUUUGAUGGUCAUACAUGACACUGAUGAUGAAGGUAAAAGGCAAAUAGUGGAAAGUUUCGUACCUCGAAUUUGUGCCCUGGUUAUUGACUCAAGAGUGACUAUUUGUAUUCAGCAGGAGACUCUAAAAAAAAUGAAUGCUAUGCUUGACAAAAUGCCUCAAGAUGCUGGAAAAAUACUCUGUAACCAAGAAAUGUUAAUUCUCAUGAGUAGUAUGGGAGAAAGGAUUUUAGAUGCUGGAGAUUAUGACCUACAAGUAGGUAUCAUAGAAGCUUUAUGUAGAAUGACCACGGAAAAACAAAGGCAAGAACUGGCGUGUCAGUGGUUUUCAAUGGAUUUUAUUGCUAAUGCAUUUAAAGAAAUUAAAGACUCUGAAUUUGAAACAGAUUGUAGGAUAUUUCUUAACCUCGUAAAUGGCAUGCUUGGCGAUAAGAGAAGGGUCUUUACAUUCCCUUGUUUAUCAGCAUUUCUUGAUAAACAUGAGCUGCAAAUACCAUCAGAUGAGAAACUUGAGGAAUUUUGGAUAGAUUUUAAUCUUGGGAGCCAGACUCUAUCAUUCUACAUUGCUGGAGAUAAUGAUGAUCAUCCGUGGGAAGCAGUCACUGUGCCUGAGGAAAAAGUACAAAUAUACAGCAUUGAAGUGAAAGAAUCAAAGAAGCUACUGACUAUAAUUCUGAAAAAUAUUGUAAAAAUUAGUAAAGGAGAAGGGAAAGAAUUACUUUUAUAUUUUGAUGCAUCGUUAGAAAUCACUAAUGUGACACAAAAAAUUUUUGGUGCAAAUAAGUAUAGGGAAUUUACCAGAAAACAAGGCAUUUCAGUUGCCAAAACAUCUGUGCAUAUACUCUUUGAUGCAAGUGGAUCACAGAUUCUAGUCCCAGAAAGUCAAACCUCACCAGUUGAAGAGGAACUUGUUAGUUUGAAAGAAAAACUUACCCCUCAAGAGGAAUUAAGAAUAUGUGUUUACUGUGGCUGUUUUUCAUGGUUUAAGAUAAUUACUCCUAGCAAAAGAAAAAUGUCUGAAGCAUCAAUGAUUGUUCCCAGUUCAGAGAGAUACACUGUGAGAAGUCCAAUACUUCUAAUCAAUACAUCAACACCGCGAAGAGGAAGAAUUAAACCACCACUGCAGAUGACAAGUUCUACAGAAAAACCUGGUGUUUCCAAAACAUCGGAAAAUGGAGUGGAUAAUGCUGUAUCACUUAAAUCUAGAACAUCUCAAGAAAGAAAUAGAGGAGAUAAUACAGACAAACAUAUCAAAACUGCUAAAGUUGUAGAAAAUAAGGAUACUGAAUUCCCAAACCAAAAUUUUAGUAAUUACAGGCUAAUGUUUUGUAAUAUGAAGCAAGUGAACUUGUUUUCUAGGUUACCUGGUGCUUUAGACAACAUCUGCGGAAAUAAAAUGCACUCCAAAUGCGUAUGUUGGACACCUGUAACAAACAUUCAGCUUGGUAAUAACCGAAGAGAAAGUACUUCAUCAGGAGACACAUUUAAUCAAGAUACUAUUAUCAACAAAAAACUUGCUAAACAAAAAUCAUCCUCUUCAAUAUCUGAUGAUAAUUCUGAGGAAACAGGAAAGGUACAGUACAGGGAAGAAAGAAUGCAGCAUAACAAAGUAGAUGAAGCAGAAGUAGGAGUCUGCAAAGGCAGCAAACAGCAACUCGGUCGUCCUAAACACUUGGAGGAGGAAAGUACUGAAAAUACCAAGCAGAGUGAUUGGCGUAUUGAAUCUGAAACUACUUUUAAAUCAGUUCUCCUAAAUAAGACAGUUGAAGAAUCUGUGAUCUAUAGGAAAAAAUACAUAUUGUCAAAGGAUGUGAAUACUACUAUUUGUGAUAAAAGCCCUUCUCCUAGAAAAAAUGCAAACGGCGUUAGAAAAUCAGGGAAAAGACUGACGUCUGAACUUAGUUCCUGGGACUUGAAACCAAAAAAAACGAGAGAAAAGUUAAAAGGGAAAGGAUUUACUGAUGCAGCAGAAUCCUUGAUAAGCCAAAUUAAUAAGAGAUACAAACCAAAGGAUGGCAUAAAGUCCACAAGAAAAUUAAAGGAGUCUUUGACUGACAGUGGUUUUUCAAACAAAUCUGAUCUACAGCUCAGUAAGGUUCAGAAAAAAAGUUAUAGACAAUUGAAGACUACUUUCGUUAAUGUUACUUCUGAAUGCCCAUUGAACGAUGUUUACAAUUUUAAUUUGAAUGGAGCAGAUGAGCCUAUUAUAAAACUGGGAAUCCAGGAAUUUCAAGCUACAGCUAGAGAAGCCUGUGUGGAUACUUCAAUUGUAACAAAUCAUAAAAAGAAAAAUCUCUUUAGUGAUACUGACACAGAAUACAAUUGUGAUGACAUGAAGACAGAUAUUAGCUGGUUAAGAGAACCAAAAUCAAAACCACAGCUAAUAGACUACAGCAGAAAUAAAAAUGUGAAGAAACAUAAAAGUGGGAGAUCAAGACCAUGUUUGGAAAGGAGACAACCAAGAUCUAAAAUGACACCCAACAAAAAUAUCACCAAAAAGGUAGAUGAGACAGUUCCAGAGGGGAGAACCAGACUUCCACGAAGAGCAGCAAAAACCAAAAAAAAUUAUAAGGAUCUCUCAAAUUCAGAAUCAGAGAGUGAACAAGAAUUUUCACAUUCAUUUAAAGAAAAAUUGCUAGUAAAGGAGAGUAUACAUUCCAGAAGCAAAACUGUGAAGCUGCCAAAGAAACAGCAGGAUUCCUUUUCUGCCGAAAUACAGAAGGAUAUAUCAAAAGAAAGGAAAAACUCAUCUCUACUGAGAGAUACUCUACAAGAAAACAGCCUUGACCUAGCUCCUAUAUCUUUAUCUGGGAGUCCAUCAUCUAUAGAAGUAAUGAGAUGUACAGAAAAAGGAACAGAAAGGGAUUUUACUCAGGAUUAUGACUGUAUAACAAAAUCAGUAUCACCUUAUCCAAAAACUUCAUCACCUGAAUCCUUAAACAGUAAAUACAGCAUUGGAGGUCCAACAAAGUCACCCAAAAACAGUGAGGAAAAUUUACUGUGUACAAGAGAAAAUUGCUCACCAAUUCCACAAUCAUUCUUUUUGGUAAGAAAAAAAAAGUAUGUAUUUUCUCUUUUAUCAGAUAUACCUGAAGUGGGCAAAUCAUUUGCCUUCUACUAUCAUUUAAAAAAAAAAAUCUCAUUUUGUUUCUUUAAUAGGAUCAAAAAACUUGAUAAAUUCCAAUUCAUCAUCACAGAGGAGCUGGAGAAUUUUGAAAAAGAUUCACAGUCUUUAAAAGAUUUGGAGAAGGAAUUUGUAACUUUCAUUAUUUUACUUGUUAGGCUUCACCUUUUAAAAGCUUCAUUGGACAAGAAUGUCUUCUACAACACUGGUUAUGAAGAAACUAUUUUUACAUCUGAGAUGUGUUUGAUGAAAGAAAACAUGAAAAUGCUGCAAGACAGGCUUCUUAAGGAAAUGCAAGAGGAAGAGCUUCUUAAAGUACGCAGAGGACUGAUGUCAUUAUUCAUGGCUCAUGAAAGAAACAGUGUGUGACGCCUAGUUGUUACCAGCGAGUUUUAUCGAAUUAUGCUUUUCUGUGUAUAACUAAGGAAAUACUACAGUAGCUCUAUAAAGAGAAACACAUGUCACCCAGGCAAGACUGCCUUUGUAGGAACCUCCAAAUCCAAAGAAAUAUCUUAUCAAUGAAAGAACCUACAGUCACUAUAACAUGGUUCUGAGCCCAAAGGACUUUUGUCUGUACACUAUUACCCUUUUUAAAGAAAGUUUUGGGAAAUCAGACAAUAAAAGGAAUUGGCUUGUUUUGCA
ensembl:lncRNA